AGAGUUCACCACUGCUGCCAUUUCUACAGUUCUAUGCUGAGUUCAGUGAGAGGCAGAACUACAGAAACUGUAGACUUCUGGAUGAAUUUAAAGAAUCUGUGUGUUCAGUUCAACCAUGAGAAGAGUGUACGAGUGUUGGAAUGUAUCGGUGAUAAUGACUGGCUGGAAAGGACGACCUAUACACGCUAACCUCAACCCUAGUGUUCAUAAAGUCACACGGUUACUGAAGAUCCUUGACAGCGAAAGUAUAACUUUGGUGUUUAAACAUGUAGAUCCAGAUGUUACAGUGUAUAGAGGAGGAAGAGAUAUGGCGGGUGAAUUUCUCAGCUCUGCUCACAUCUUCAUCACAACAUUAUGAGAAGGAAUGUAUUUCUAUGAUUGACCAGUUAAUGAACAAACAAGUUUGGAGAAGCACGAAAGUUUGCCAAAAUUACAGGAAUUUGAGCUCAUCAUGUCACCAUGCGUCAGGUGUGUCUAGAUGUCU